rnacentral:rRNA from 1 species
UACGUAGGGUGCGAGCGUUGUCCGGAAUUAUUGGGCGUAAAGAGCUCGUAGGCGGUGUGUCACGUCGUUCGUGAAAACCCGCAGCUUAACUGUGGGCGUGCGGUCGAUACGGGCAUCACUGGAGUUCGGCAGGGGAGACUGGAAUUCCUGGUGUAGCGGUGAAAUGCGCAGAUAUCAGGAGGAACACCGGUGGCGAAGGCGGGUCUCUGGGCCGAUACUGACGCUGAGGAGCGAAAGCGUGGGGAGCGAACAGG